GAUGAACGCUGGCGGCGUGCCUAAUACAUGCAAGUCGAGCGAACAGACGAGGAGCUUGCUCCUCUGACGUUAGCGGCGGACGGGUGAGUAACACGUGGAUAACCUACCUAUAAGACUGGGAUAACUUCGGGAAACCGGAGCUAAUACCGGAUAAUAUAUUGAACCGCAUGGUUCAAUAGUGAAAGACGGUUUUGCUGUCACUUAUAGAUGGAUCCGCGCCGCAUUAGCUAGUUGGUAAGGUAACGGCUUACCAAGGCAACGAUGCGUAGCCGACCUGAGAGGGUGAACGGCCAAACGGGAAGUGAGACGCGGUCCAAACUCCUAAGGGAGGCAGAAGUAAGGAAUCUUGCGCAAUGGGCGAAAGCCUGACGGAGCAAAGGCGCGUGAGUGAUGAAGGUCUUCGGAUAGUAAAACUCUGUUAUUAGGGAAGAACAAAUGUGUAAGUAACUAUGCACGUCUUGACGGUACCUAAUCAGAAAGCCACGGCUAAAUACGUG
rnacentral:rRNA from 1 species